rnacentral:snRNA from 1 species
AGCUUUGUGCAGUGGCAGUAUCAUAGCCAAUGAGGUUUAUCUGAGGCACAAUUAUUGCUAAUUGAAAACUUUUCCAUACUGGGGUAUGAAGGAGUUGGUUUUAAAUUUUAAUAUCCCAAGAGGGUUUCAGGUCAACCAUUUUCUAAAAUUUAAAACUAAA